CCAUCUCUACGGAACAACUCCGGGAAACUGGAGCUAAUACCGUAUACGUCCUUUUGGAGAAAGAUUUAUCGGAGAUGGAUGAGCCCGCGUUGGAUUAGCUAGUUGGUGGGGUAAUGGCCUACCAAGGCGACGAUCCAUAGCUGGUCUGAGAGGAUGAUCAGCCACACUGGGACUGAGACACGGCCCAGACUCCUACGGGAGGCAGCAGUGGGGAAUAUUGGACAAUGGGCGCAAGCCUGAUCCAGCCAUGCCGCGUGAGUGAUGAAGGCCCUAGGGUUGUAAAGCUCUUUCACCGGUGAAGAUAAUGACGGUAACCGGAGAAGAAGCCCCGGCUAACUUCGUGCCAGCAGCCGCGGUAAUACGAAGGGGGCUAGCGUUGUUCGGAAUUACUGGGCGUAAAGCGCACGUAGGCGGAUAUUUAAGUCAGGGGUGAAAUCCCGGGGCUCAACCCCGGAACUGCCUUUGAUACUGGGUAUCUCGAGUCCGAGAGAGGUGAGUGGAAUUCCGAGU
rnacentral:rRNA from 1 species